UCAGCGAAACUCAUGUUGAGUGAAGUUACCAUAAUGUGCAUCCAGUGUGGGCCAGAGAUAUUGUUAGGACAACAGAAAAGAGAUUUGCUCACGUAUUGAAUAAAAUCACGAGCUAUUUCCUGAUGUUUCCCUGUUCCUUUUCCUAGCACUCUUUGUUUGGAGGCACAAUGAGCUGAGGAGGCCUGUGUGGCAUCGAUCUUAUAUACAACACAACAUUUCCGGGAGUGAGGAGACUCAAAGUGCACAAGUAGCUUGGAAUACACAAUGCUUGCUAAGGUCCUCGACCCUACUAUCCAUUGCACAGCAGUGCAUGAUGGCAGCCAUCAGAAUCAUCAGAAUCCUCAGUAGCUUCUGCUGUUUAUCUUUUUUUAUUUCAUCUAACACAAUGAAAUAUCAGUUGGCAGUCAGUGACUCAUCCUCUUCAGCUCUUGUGUCAUUGGACCUCAUUGCUGAUUGUGAUUGGCUGCUGCGUCUGUGAUCUUUGUGAAAAACAUUGAUAAAGUAUGAAAAUGGAUUUCUGCACCGAGGUGACUGAACUAAUCAAGACUUUAU
ensembl:lncRNA